rnacentral:rRNA from 1 species
GAUGAACGCUGGCGGCGUGCUUAACACAUGCAAGUCGAACGGAAAGGCUCCUGCUUGCAGGGGUACUCGAGUGGCGAACGGGUGAGUAACACGUGGGUGAUCUGCCCUGCACUUCGGGAUAAGCCUGGGAAACUGGGUCUAAUACCGGAUAGGACGAUGGUUUGGAUGCCAUUGUGGAAAGUUUUUUCGGUGUGGGAUGAGCUCGCGGCCUAUCAGCUUGUUGGUGGGGUAAUGGCCUACCAAGGCGUCGACGGGUAGCCGGCCUGAGAGGGUGUACGGCCACAUUGGGACUGAGGUACGGCCCAGACUCCUACGGGAGGCAGCAGUGGGGAAUAUUGCACAAUGGGCGCAAGCCUGAUGCAGCGACGCCGCGUGGGGGAUGACGGCCUUCGGGUUGUAAACUCCUUUCGCUAGGGACGAAGCGCAAGUGACGGUACCUGGAGAAGAAGCACCGGCUAACUACGUG